rnacentral:rRNA from 1 species
CAGUCGCCGCGGUAAUACAGAGGGUGCAAGCGUUAAUCGGAAUUACUGGGCGUAAAGCGCGCGUAGGUGGUUUGUUAAGUUGGAUGUGAAAGCCCCGGGCUCAACCUGGGAACUGCAUCCAAAACUGGCAAGCUAGAGUACGGUAGAGGGUGGUGGAAUUUCCUGUGUAGCGGUGAAAUGCGUAGAUAGAGGAAGGAACACCAGUGGCGAAGGCGACCACCUGGACUGAUACUGACACUGAGGUGCGAAAGCGUGGGGAGCAAACAGGAUUAGAUACCCCGGUAGUCCCUGUCUCUUAUAC